UACGUAGGUGGCGAGCGUUGUCCGGAUUUACUGGGCGUAAGGGAUGCGUAGGCGGAUAUUUAAGUGAGAUGUGAAAUACCCGAGCUUAACUUGGGUGCUGCAUUUCAAACUGGAUAUCUAGAGUGUGGGAGAGGAGAAUGGAAUUCCUAGUGUAGCGGUGAAAUGCGUAGAGAUUAGGAAGAACACCAGUGGCGAAGGCGAUUCUCUGGACCAUAACUGACGCUGAGGCAUGAAAGCGUGGGUAGCAAACAGG
rnacentral:rRNA from 1 species